rnacentral:lncRNA from 1 species
GCAUGUUGGAUGAGCAAAAUUGGUGUUAUUGGUUAAAGACUGGUUUGUCCCCUACCACAGGCAUGUUGGAUGAGCAAAAAUUGUGUUAUUGGUUAGAGACUGGUAUGUCCCCUACCAUUGGCAUGUUGGAUGAGCAAAAAUGGUGUUAUUGGUUAGAGACUGGUAUGUCCCCUACCAAAAACAUGUUGGAUGAGCAAAAAUGUUGUUAUUGGUUAAAGACUGGUAUGUCCCCUACCAUUGGCAUGUUGGAUGAGUAAAACUGUUGUUAUUGGUAAGAGACUGGUAUGUCCCCUACCAUUGCCAUGUUGGAUAAGCAAAAAUGGUGUUAUUGGUUAGAGACUGGUAUGUCC